UGGGGAAUAUUGCACAAUGGGCGCAAGCCUGAUGCAGCCAUGCCGCGUGUGUGAAGAAGGCCUUCGGGUUGUAAAGCACUUUCAGCGGGGAGGAAGGCGGUGAGGUUAAUAACCUCACCGAUUGACGUUACCCGCAGAAGAAGCACCGGCUAACUCCGUGCCAGCAGCCGCGGUAAUACGGAGGGUGCAAGCGUUAAUCGGAAUUACUGGGCGUAAAGCGCACGCAGGCGGUCUGUCAAGUCGGAUGUGAAAUCCCCGGGCUCAACCUGGGAACUGCAUUCGAAACUGGCAGGCUAGAGUCUUGUAGAGGGGGGUAGAAUUCCAGGUGUAGCGGUGAAAUGCGUAGAGAUCUGGAGGAAUACCGGUGGCGAAGGCGGCCCCCUGGACAAAGACUGACGCUCAGGUGCGAAAGCGUGGGGAGCAAACA
rnacentral:rRNA from 1 species